rnacentral:rRNA from 1 species
CCUACGGGGGACAGCAGUCGAGAAUCAUUCACAAUGGGGGAAACCCUGAUGGUGCGACGCCGCGUGGGGGAAUGAAGGUCUUCGGAUUGUAAACCCCUGUCAUGUGGGAGCAAAUUAAAAAGAUAGUACCACAAGAGGAAGAGACGGCUAACCCUGUGCCAGCAGCCGCGGUAAUACAGAGGUCUCAAGCGUUGUUCGGAAUCACUGGGCGUAAAGCGUGCGGAGGCUGUUUCGUAAGUCGUGUGUGAAAGGCGCGGGCUCAACCCGCGGACGGCACAUGAUACUGCGAGACUAGAGUAAGGGAGGGGGAACCGGAAUUCUCGGUGUAGCAGUGAAAUGCGUAGAUAUCGAGAGGAACACUCGUGGCGAAGGCGGGUUCCUGGACAUUAACUGACGCUGAGGCACGAAGGCCAGGGGAGCGAAAGGGAUUAGAUACCCCAGUAGUC